rnacentral:rRNA from 1 species
GACGAACGCUGGCGGCGUGCCUAAUACAUGCAAGUCGAACGCUCUCGACCUUCGGGUCACAUGAGAGAGUGGCGAACGGGUGCGUAACACGUGAGAAACCUGCCCCAGAGACGGGAAUAACUCGAGGAAACUCGUGCUAAUACCCGAUGCCCUCUUCAGACCGCAUGGUCAGAUGAGGAAAGGCUCCGGCGCUUUGGGAGGGUCUCGCGGCCUAUCAGCUUGUUGGUGAGGUAACGGCUCACCAAGGCAUCGACGGGUAGCUGGUCUGAGAGGACGAUCAGCCACACUGGGACUGAGACACGGCCCAGACUCCUACGGGAGGCAGCAGUAGGGAAUCUUGCGCAAUGGGCGAAAGCCUGACGCAGCAACGCCGCGUGGGGGAUGAAGGCCUUCGGGUCGUAAACCCCUUUCAGCAGGGACGAAAAUGACGGUACCUGCAGAAGAAGGUCCGGCCAACUACGUG